rnacentral:rRNA from 1 species
GACGGGUGAGUAAUGCCUAGGAAAUUGCCCUGAUGUGGGGGAUAACCAUUGGAAACGAUGGCUAAUACCGCAUGAUGCCUACGGGCCAAAGAGGGGGACCUUCGGGCCUCUCGCGUCAGGAUAUGCCUAGGUGGGAUUAGCUAGUUGGUGAGGUAAGGGCUCACCAAGGCGACGAUCCCUAGCUGGUCUGAGAGGAUGAUCAGCCACACUGGAACUGAGACACGGUCCAGACUCCUACGGGAGGCAGCAGUGGGGAAUAUUGCACAAUGGGCGCAAGCCUGAUGCAGCCAUGCCGCGUGUGUGAAGAAGGCCUUCGGGUUGUAAAGC